CUAACUGAUAUAUUAAAACUUAAAAAGUCACGCCUCUCUCUUCCGCUAGAAAGUCACGCCUUUUCUCUUCCUCAUAUUUCUGCAAAACACGUCUUUUCCAGAGUGUUUUGUAAUUGCCAUCCCAAUUACAAUUAUAGAAUCAGUUUGCAUUUACUCUUUAUUAACAUACAGAAAUCUCGUCCCUUUUUCCUUCACAGUAGCAUCCAUACAGCGACACCUACACAACCAUACGAUUUUCCAGUAACACCAGGCCAUCCAUACCAAUAUUCUCUCCACGGUAAUAUGACAGUUCGUGUCUUUAUGUCUACAAUAAUAAUCGUCAAUGACAAAAAUCUAACUGUUGUCAUUGCAAGAUCUAUGGUCAAGGUCGGAAAUUGACCAUCAUUGAUACAAAGAACACAGCCUUAAGAUGGGCAGAUGAGUAUGUGGUUUAGUUUGAUAGUCUUUUUUUUUUGUGUGUGUAUUCAUGGUUUAGAUAUGAAGAACUAACAUGCAUCUUCCAUUCGAGGAUCAGACUUGAUGCUCAAACUAAACAUGUUUGUAAACUUUUCACAUUAUAUUUUAGAUUUCUAUGUUGCUCCUUUGAUCUUCUUUUUAUAUGAUGAUUGUACUUAUACUUUCCGUAUAUACAAUUUGUUUAUUUUUCAUUUGGUAUGCUCCAUCCAUCCCAUUUUACGUGAAUGUGUUCGGAUUUGGAGAGUCAAACAAAUUUAUUUUUUUAUCGCGAUCAUGCAUAUAUAUUUUAAAUAUGUUGAAUUGUUAA
rnacentral:lncRNA from 1 species